rnacentral:misc_RNA from 1 species
AAGGGUCCUCCCUUCGGCAAUCGGCGACGAAGCAGGAACCAUCGGGCGCGAGCCCGAUGGGAAUCCCCGCCCUUCAGGGCGGGGAGGGAGUCAACCGAUUC